GCAUACUUUGCCUAUCGAAAGGCAUCUCAAUAAAGAUGAAGGUGGGGCUUGCAAACACCGGAUGUU
rnacentral:tRNA from 1 species